rnacentral:misc_RNA from 1 species
GAAACUUCUUUAUUUCGCGGAGGCUACACUGUACUAUUUCGAACACUGAAACAUCUCUUCAAGUACUCGAGCCUGUUUCGACAUCCGUACGUAUCAAUUUUCAGCCUGCUCCCUUCUCCUUCGCAAUUCUUACGACUCUUACCUUGUCUUCGAGCGUUUUCAACGACUUUCCAUCCUCUUCGUUCUUCCUUCUUUUGUCCCUGUCCCUCACCAGGCCAUUCAGGCUCUUGUAAGACAACAGACGACACAUGUCGUUGGUCAAGUCGGGCAGUCGGUUCUUGCAGUCGCCACACUGGAACUUCUGCUGCGGCAUCUCGCACGGUGGUUCUCCGGCGACGUCGCCGCGGAAGACCGAAAGCUCUCGCGACGACGAUGGACCCGGCUCCACGCUAACCUCGAAUGUUGUCCAAUGCCUCUCUCUCUCGGUCGGCGACUCGUACGCUGCCCGAUACAAU